CCGUUCAAUACUGCGGGACUUGAGGGCAGAAGAGGGGGGUGGAAUUGCUGGUGUAGUGGUGAAAUGCGUAGAUAUCAGCAGGAACACCUGUGGCGAAAGCGGCCCCCUGGUCUGCUCCUGACACUCAGACGCGAAAGCUAGGGGAGUGAACGGGAUUAGAAACCCCGGUAAUCCUAGCCGUAAACGAUGGAUGCUAGGUGUGGGUGGUAUUGACCCCAUCCGUGCCGAAGCCAACGCGUUAAGCAUCCCGCCUGGGGACUACGGCCGCAAGGUUAAAACUCAAAGGAAUUGACGGGGACCCGCACAAGCAGCGGAGCGUGUGGUUUAAUUCGAUGCUACACGAAGAACCUUACCCAGGUUUGACAUGCAGGUAGUAGUGAAGCGAAAGCGGAACGAUCCUUCGGGAAGCCUGCACAGGUGCUGCAUGGCUGUCGUCAGCUCGUGCCGUGAGGUGUUUGGUUAAGUCCACUAACGAGCGCAACCCCUGUCGUCAGUUACAUGUGUCUGGCGAGACUGCCGGUCUUAAACCGGAGGAAGGUGGGGAUGACGUCAAGUCAGCAUGGCCUUUAUAUCUGGG
rnacentral:rRNA from 1 species